CUAUACUGACCUAGUACCAUCACCCUGACUUGGAAUUUCUCACCCCCCAGAGAAUAAUCCCAAAAAUGUUCUACAGUGUUAUACGAGUAAUUGACGGUGCUCUGAUUUUAACAACCCUUGAUAUGUCACAAUUUUAAGUAAGAAUUGCGCAAAGUAUUCUAAUACGGUUAACUAUAAAAAGUUUAAUCGAAGUCAUACGGUGUUAUCAUUUUUAUAUUUUCAAUUUAAAUUAUAUACCAGUAUAUAAUAUAAAUAGUGAUUUAAAACAAGGUUGGCAGAGAAAAACACGGCUGUUUGAUGAAAUGGCGUUUAUUUUAGAAGCUUGCAUGGAGGGACGGACAGACAGAAAGCCAACCGGAUUUCAACUUUCUUUCCAACGGCACCUUCAGAUCGAGGCGUCAAAGAAAUCAGAAUUUUACCCUGCUUCUAAAUAUUAUGUUUUACGUUAUAUUGAUCUUUUUAUUAUUCUAUCAUGCUUUUUGGUUUAUAACUGGUUUAUCUUCCCUUCGUUAAUAUUUAAUAAAUUUUAUUGUACACAUAUAA